rnacentral:rRNA from 1 species
UACGGAGGAUCCGAGCGUUAUCCGGAUUUAUUGGGUUUAAAGGGUGCGCAGGCGGGGGAUUAAGUCGGCGGUGAAAUUUUGCAGCUCAACUGUAAAAGUGCCUUCGAAACUGGUUUCCUUGAGUGUAGAUGAAGUAGGCGGAAUUUGUGGUGUAGCGGUGAAAUGCAUAGAUAUCACGAGGAACUCCGAUUGCGCAGGCAGCUUACUAAACUACUACUGACGCUCAUGCACGAAGGCGUGGGGAUCAAACAGGAUUAGAUACCCGUAGUCCCU